UACGUAGGGUGCAAGCGUUGUCCGGAAUUAUUGGGCGUAAAGGGCUCGUAGGCGGUCCAUCGCGUCGGGAGUGAAAAGCUGGGGCUUAACCCCAGUCCUGCUUCCGAUACGGGUGGACUAGAGGUAGGCAGGGGAGAACGGAAUUCCUGGUGUAGCGGUGAAAUGCGCAGAUAUCAGGAAGAACACCCGUGGCGAAGGCGGCUCUCUGGGACGUGACUGACGCUGAGACGCGAAAGCGUGGGGAGCGAACAGG
rnacentral:rRNA from 1 species